UGGCCGCGGCCGUGAGCGCCGGAUGAGGCGCGUUCGUGACCUGCAGGAGCUCGCCACCAAAGCAGCACAUUCACGCUGCCGUCCAGGAACACCUCUCGCCACUUAAAGCUUGUACCCUGGCAAGAGUGCAAACCAGCCCGUGAGUUCACUGCGGCAGCGGCAUGCUAUGGCAGCUGGUGGCCAUCGUCUUCAACUCCGUGGGCUUUGGUAAAUUUCUGGUUCCUCUUAUUUGUCCUCUAUUUUCGCUGUGAUAGCAUGCCCAUCUAGGUGCGUUUCGGAUGGAGUGGGUUUGAUAUGAAAUUUUUGGAAAAUAUGAUGGUUUGAUGGCAGUGGGUUUUGUUGGAAUUGUUGCAAUACCCUGUUCAUAUUUUUGGUGAAGAACACUACGGCUGAAUGAAUGCUUCAGUUAGUCUCUGUUUUCAUUGCGUGAUGGUUUCUUAUGUGCGGUAAGUCGGGAUCAAAUCCCUGGAGCAGCAUAUCAUGCUGGCACCGGAUUCAGGUUUGUCAUAUUUGCAUUGCCUGUGGUAGUUCAAUAUCACAUCAAUGAAGCAGCCUAUCUUUUCCGCGCCUCAAUUGAUUUUCGCCCUAUGUCGCCUUUGCGUAGUAUAAGCCUUAAGCCUUUUUCUGCUUGUUGAUGGCAAUUGAUUUCACAACUCACAUCGAAACAGCAAGAAAAAGCUAGCGAAACGUAGCAACAAUUCAAAAUCUUGUUCAUUUUUGAAUUGUUGCAGUUUGUGAAUCGCUUACAUUUACCAUGAUGGCUUAAGAGCCUAAUUCUUGAUCAUACUUUAGUAUUUUGCAACUCUUUAUAUGUAUAUUUGAUCAUAAACUUGUUUUCCUUCUAUUUUCUAGGUUGCUUUGAACCCUAGAUCACUUAUAUGCUAUCUCAUGAUGUUUGUUGAGUAAUUGGUCUUGUGAUCAAUGUAUGUGUUGUGCAUACUAUCUUGGUUUCUUUUUCUAACAUGUGAGGUGCACAAGUGUAUGUGGUCAUGUAACCAAGCUGCUGCUUUUUGGAGCUGAUCUGGACUACUAGUUCAACAAAGUAGUUAAAUCUUUUGUUAGUCAAGACUAUACAGCCACCUUAAAAGGAUGGAUUAAUUCUGUUUUGGCCUGUUUGAAAUGCCUAUGAUGUUGCUGCUUAUCUCGAAAUUUCAUUAUCUGCACCUAAGUUGUUUGUGACUUGGAAACGGUUUGUAGCUCUAGUAUUUUAUUUUGUGUUAAUAAGAAAGAAAUAGACAUUCUUCUGUAGCUCUAGUUUUAGAUUAUCCUUAAGUUUUUGUUGAACUUUGUUGUUUGGUCGACUUGAUGAAUGAGAAGCUUAAACCUGAGUUGCAUUGAAUGUGGGAGCUCUUUGGAGCUGAUCUGGACCACUAGUUCAACAAAGCAGUUUAAUUUUUGUGAUUCAACACAAAUGCUUCUACCUUAUAAGGUUGAAUUGAUUCUGUUGUUCCCUGUUUGAAAUGUCUGUGCUGCUGUUGCUUAAUAUUAUCUCGGGAAGGAUGAUUUAAUACUGCUUAAUAUGUUGGCAAAACUUCUAGUGUUGAAGAGUAGUUGUGCUCAUUGUUUGCAGAAAGAGCUUAUUUUUUUCAGUAUGAAUUGACUUCGUAGACAGUAGAGAAAUUGUUGCCUCGCUUGGAAAUGACAUCUACAUGUACCCUGUAUGUCUAGCUUGGAAAUUGUUGCCUGACUUGAAUGUUUUCUAGCUUUAUUAAUUCCUUUAGUAAGAAUUUUAGAAUUGGAUCAGUUCCUGGCCACUUCCUUUAUCUUUGUGUUUUCGAAUCUCAGGGAAUAAGUGGAUGUGCAGCUGGCUAUGAGGUAGUCAUGGCCUCCGGAUCUGGCUGGCAGUGGCGGCCUUCUUCUUCGACUCGGCAGGUUUAGGGAAUAAGUGGAUGUGCAGCUGGCUAGAAGGUAGUCAUGGCCGCUGGAUCCAGCCGGCUGGCAGCUGUGGCCCUCUUCUUCGACUUGGCGGGUUUAGGCAGGGGAGGUUGUUGCAGGCUUCGUCUUGUGCGGCUCUGGCCGGUCCACCGCGUCCGUCGCUGACUACAUUUGAGUAGCUACUGCUAUCACGAGACUUGAUGGCAUUCCCUCUGUCCUCGGUUUUCUUGUAAUGAACAGAAGAUCAAGACUUGAGUUAACCAGCUUAAUUAGGACCCGGAAACAGGUAGCGGUGGCCUUUUUGUAUGCCUCCGUGUUUAGGUGAGUUAAUUUGUGGUUCACCCAUUGUAUCGUAUACGUGCUCCAUGGCCAUUGAGCAGCCUGUGACAUGCUAAAUGGUAGCGAUGACUAGGUUUUGGCUAUAACACAGAUGAGUUGUGCUUGCGCGUUUUUUUUUUUUUUUUUUUUUUUGUGGGUAGUGCUUGCGCUCUUGAUAUUUGGUAUUCUGAGUGGUUUGAUUGUUGAAUUAUAUACCUGCUGCUGGUGGUACGUACUAGUCAUCUUAUUGAUUUCCAGUAAGAUACAUUAGUGGUGGGCUGUUGAAUUUU